CGACGACAACGGCGACGAUGAUGUGCCUACCACGAUCGACGAUGCGCGAAUGCACCAAUCGUGCGCGCGACAAAAAUUGUGAAGUGUUGAGCGCAAGAACUAUAGCGCAAUUAAAAUGAGCAAAGAAAACAAGUUGAAAAGGCAGCUAUCGCAAUGCCAACAAAUGAUAUGAUAUAAUGUUUAUAAAAAGUCAUGUAUAUGUGAUACAAGAGAACACAUAUCGCAUAAUAUCAUGUUGGAGUGCAAGUGAGAACACACUUUGUGAUGACUUGCAAUUAAAGAUAAAAAAAGUCGAAGAUAUUAGGUAUUUUAUAUAAUUUAAAGAAUGGUCUUAUCAAAACAGUAGCAAUAUUGAGCGGAAAUUUAGCUUAAGUUUAGCAUAGAUUUAGAACAGGUGAAUUUUUGUGUCUGAUUGUUUAUCAUUCAUCAAUUUCAAUAAAAAUUAUAAAAAUA